UACGUAGGGUGCGAGCGUUGUCCGGAAUUAUUGGGCGUAAAGGGCUCGUAGGCGGUUUGUCGCGUCGGGAGUGAAAACCUCGGGCUUAACUCGGGGCUUGCUUUCGAUACGGGCAGACUAGAGGUAUGCAGGGGAGAACGGAAUUCCUGGUGUAGCGGUGAAAUGACGCAGAUAUCAGGAGGAACACCGGUGGCGAAGGCGGGUCUCUGGGCCGAUAUCGACGCUGAGGAGCGAAAGCGUGGGGAGCGAACAGG
rnacentral:rRNA from 1 species